CCAAUAGCGUAUAUUAAAGUUGUUGCAGUUAAAAAGCUCGUAGUUGAAUUUCGGGAUCAAAGUGCCGGUCGUGCCUUGGUAUGCACUGGUACUUUUGAUUUCUCCCUUCUGAAGAACUUUGAUGUCAUUAAUUUGGUGUCUUAGGGAAUCAGGACUGUUACUUUGAAAAAAUUAGAGUGUUUAAAGCAAGCUCACGCUUGAAUACAUUAGCAUGGAAUAAUGAAAUAGGACGUUUGAUUCUAUUUUGUUGGUUUCUAGGAUCGACGUAAUGAUUAAUAGGGAUAGUUGGGGGCAUUAGUAUUCAAUUGUCAGAGGUGAAAUUCUUGGAUUUAUUGAAGACUAACUACUGCGAAAGCAUUUGCCAAGGAUGUUUUCAUUAAUCAAAAACGAAAGUUAGGGGAUCGAAGACGAUCAGAUACCGUCGUAGUCUUAACCAUAAACUAUGCCGACUAGGGAUCGGAUGAUGUUAAUUUUUUAAUGACUCAUUCGGCGCCUUACG
rnacentral:rRNA from 1 species